GUGCCAGCUGCCGCGGUAAUACGUAGGGAGCAAGCGUUAUCCGGAAUUAUUGGGCGUAAAGCGUGCGCAGGUGGUCAGAUUAGUCAAAUGUGAAAGCCCACAGCUUAACUGUGGAGGGUCAUUUGAAACUGUCUGACUAGAGUACGGUAGAGGUAAGUGGAAUUCAAUGUGUAGCGGUAAAAUGCGUAGAUAUAUUGAGGAACACCAGUGGCGAAGGCGGCUUACUGGACCGGAACUGACACUGAGGCACGAAAGCGUGGGUAGCAAACAGGAUUAGAUACCCCGUAGUCC
rnacentral:rRNA from 1 species